rnacentral:rRNA from 1 species
GGAUGAACGCUGGCGGCGUGCCUAACACAUGCAAGUCGAACGGGGUUCUAURUCGGAAGUUUUCGGAUGGAAGAGAUAGGACCCAGUGGCGGACGGGUGAGUAACACGUGGGUAACCUGCCUCAUAGAGGGGGAUAACAGAGAGAAAUCACUGCUAAUACCGCAUAAGCACACGGGAUCGCAUGAUCCUGGGUGAAAAGAUUUAUCGCUAUGAGAUGGACUCGCGUCUGAUUAGCUGGUUGGCGGGGUAAAGGCCCACCAAGGCGACGAUCAGUAGCCGAUCUGAGAGGAUGGCCGGCCACAUUGGGACUGAGACACGGCCCAGACUCCUACGGGAGGCAGCAGUGGGGGAUAUUGCACAAUGGAGGGAACUCUGAUGCAGCAACGCCGCGUGAGUGAAGAAGUAUUUCGGUAUGUAAAGCUCUAUCAGCAGGGAAGAUAAUGACAGUACCUGAAUAAGAAGCCCCGGCUAACUACGU